AUUUGGCGGACGGGUGAGUAAUGCCUAGGAAUCUGCCUGGUAGUGGGGGAUAACGUUCGGAAACGGACGCUAAUACCGCAUACGUCCUACGGGAGAAAGCAGGGGACCUUCGGGCCUUGCGCUAUCAGAUGAGCCUAGGUCGGAUUAGCUAGUUGGUGAGGUAAUGGCUCACCAAGGCGACGAUCCGUAACUGGUCUGGGAGGAUGAUCAGUCACACUGGAACUGAGACACGGUCCAGACUCCUACGGGAGGCAGCAGUGGGGAAUUUUGGACAAUGGGGGAAACCCUGAUCCAGCCAUCCCGCGUGUGCGAUGGAGGCCUUCGGGUUGUAAAGCACUUUUGGCAGGAAAGAAACGUCAUGGGCUAAUACCCCGUGAAACUGACGGUACCUGCAGAAGAAGCACCGGCUAACUACGUGCCAGCAGCCGCGGUAAUACGGAGGGU
rnacentral:rRNA from 1 species